UAUCAGCACAGCAGAGAGAAAGUCUGUACAGAGGACAAGAAAAUAGUCAACAGAUGGACCCUGCUCAGCAGUAACUUGCAAUCCUGUGAAUGCUGAAGAUCUGAUGCCAUCCGAGGUGUCCUUGGCUAGAACACAUUGGACCGUUCAUGUACUGUGCGAGGAUGGAUUCAGAGACAAGCCUGCUGUGCAGAAAGACCUUGGAAAAGCCUGAAUACGCCCACUCAUGGUUAUAACACGGCCAGUCAGCUUUUUGUCUGAAGGGGCUUUCAGCUGCUCUGUGUGUGAGUGUGUGUGGAGGAGGAAAAAAUUCAUUGUGUACAAUGGCUGCCUUACAUGAACCAUCCAACACUCCACUGAGAGACAAAACCUGCCUGCAUAACAUUUACUCACAAACAGUUGCACACAAAGAGAGAAAUGCCUCUGGCCACCUACUGUUAGCAUAUUACUGUGUAGCAGUUAAGUGGGUGGAGUUAAAUAACAUGUGGAUGCUUUAACUGGACUGAGGUGUGUGUGUGUGGACUGACCUCUUUCUCCAAUGCUUUCUCCAUGAUGAGCUGCUGGGUAUCGGCUAUGCCCUUUAGCUUCAUCCACAGGAACAUUCCUGCUGAUGGGGUGUGCCACUCUGCCACAUCUACACAUAAACACACAUUAGGAGCAAAAGAAGAAAAACUUCCUGACUCAUGAGAGGAGUUUCUUUCUUUUUUUUUUGUUUUUGUUUCCUGUAGUGAAUUUCUAGACGACACAUGCAGUCCCUUAUAUUGAACCCUUACAAGUGCAGAGGUUAUUAUAGGUGACACAAAAGGGAAAAAACCUCCAUAUUUGCUAAGAUGUAUGCUUUGU